CAUGUGUUACUAUAACAUGUCUGUCUAUGCGGCAAGGAUGUGUGGAUGCUCUUCCCAGAAGCAGCGUUCGAUUAUGUUGCAGUGACAAAAACAUCAUACGACGACAUGAUAUCCACGUCUUUAUGGGGAGGCAAACACGACUAACCUUACAACGGAAAACCGAAGAGCCCAUGCGGAAGAUCAAGGGAAAUUUAACGAGCAUCCAAAAACACGUAUUGUACUGAUUAUUAAUGUGGCCUGCAUCCGGAAGGAAGCAAAAAGAAAAUGGAGGAUUUCAUAUGAUGGAUAGCAUACAGCCCGGCCAUCAAAGGAUGGUGGAUACUUCAAUUCUUUGUGAGGGAAGAACUCUCUCCAUCUUAU